AAAUGCUUGUUAUCUUAAUUUUUUUUUUAAGUUUCCAGAAUGAACAGAAAACAGUUAACUCAGCUUUCUGAUUUCUCUGAGACACAAAAAAUUGGGUUUGUAGCAUUUAUGAAGAGAAAACAGCAGCAAUAUUUAAAUUAAGUGGGAUUGAUGGCAGUGCAUCUUCCCAGUUUUGCUACAGAAGUAUAGUCGUCUCUUUUUACUUCAGUAAGGAUACUACCUACACCACCAUUUCUGUUGCAGCCGCUCUAAAUGUUCUCCAUAUUUUUUCGUAUUGAAUAUGCAAAAAAACCCCAGAAUUUGAUGUAAUGCAGUAUAAAGAUUUCAUUUUCAUUUAUGGACUUCAUCUGCAGAUGCACUUCUCAGAAAUACUGCAAUAACCUAAACUACAAUGUUUGUGUUAUGCUACAUUAUUUGUAUUAUUUUUGUAAUCCCUCUCCUUCACUGUCCCCUUGAAAAGUUUGCAUAAUUAUUGUAUGAAGAUGAUAAACAUUUGGAACAGGAACCAUACUUUCUUAUUUCUUACGAGAAGUGCACAGUACAUAUUUGAAUAAAAUAAAGCUGUAUAUAAUAAUCAUUAGCAUUUUUGAGCUAUAUCCCAGAAUGUCAUUUUGAAGGAUAUGUCAAAUAUGAAAGGAUAGAAAAAAACCUACACUGGAGGUAGAGGAAUCCCGUCAUACUUUCAACAUUAGUCAAAAAUUCAAAUCAGGAUAAUUUUUAUGAGCUGUAUUUUAAGUUUAAAAGAGUUUGAAAAAUUGCUUUUGACUUUUUUUCCUUUUUUACUUUUUUUCCAUAUGAAUAAAUCUCAUAUUUUUCAUGUAAUUUUAUUUAUGAAAAAUCUUAGGUGUUAAUGCAGGAUUUAUAACAGAGGGGGCUUGCAAACUUAGCCAAAGAACCUUGGCCCAACUCUGUUUUCUCUCUCUUUUUUUUUUUUUUUGGGGGGGAGGUGGAAAAAGCCAAAAGUGCGUGCCAGUUCAUACAAGGAACCACUGUGAAGAAGAAGGAAGGGAGGAAGGAGGGGGGGACGUUUAAAUAAUCACAACUUCUCUUUGUCUUUUUAUUCCUCAUCCUGAUCCACCUUACUUGUGUCUUCCUUAUUGCUUCUGCUUUUCUUACCUCUUGAGGCUGACCGUGCAGUGCAGAAACGUGAAAGGUCCCUGAGGAGCUGCAACGAAAAUCCCUCUGCAAAUAUGGCUGGGAGAUUCAGGCUGUCAAGCUGCUCUUGGGUGACACGAGAGCGCGGAGUCACAAAUAUCUGUCACCAAAAUCUGCAUGCUGUUGACCCAUGUGCAGGCAUAAUAAGUAACUGAAGACAGUAGAAAGAUCUCCUCUUGGCCUUCUCUUCCUAAGACUGAACAAGCUCAGUUCUCUCAUCCUCUCUUCAUACGCUGUGUGCUCUGCCCCCUCAACCAUCUUAGUGGUGACUGCUGGACUCACAGGAAUCCAGGAUAUGUGAACUAUGCGCUGAUGACAAGAGCAAGAAAACCUUUGCAGAACAGAAUACAUCCUGAGUUAAAUUGUUAGGCUGGAGUAUUAUAGACAACUUGCUACAAGACUGACAAGGACUCAACAUCCACAAUGAGCCUUUCAAAAAUGUUUGGUCACCUCCAGCUCUGCUACACCUACAGCAAAUUAUUCACACCUCAGAAGAAAUCCUAGCAAACUGUGAGAAUUUCAGAACUGUCAGAAGAAGGAGCUGAAAUACAAAAUAGCAUCUGCAAGGGGAUGGGAGGGAAAGUGUAGUCAAAAAUCUUGAAUAAUUGAUGCUGAAUUCUAAGACAGACAAAAUGUUAUGCCUGAAUGCACAAGUAGCCUGGAGUCAAAUUUCAGCUUUAGGGUAAAUCCAAUAUGAGAAUUCCUAAGAUUUCUGUACAGCCUAGUAAAAUGGAAAGAACAUUACAUGAUCAAGCAAGCAAAAGAAACACUGUCUCUUCUCACCAUAGCAUUUCAUCAAAAUUCAUUUCCCCUAUGAUGGCUGUCAAGAAUCAAUUCCAAGAGCUGAUCCACAAGAUACUAUGGACUUGGUUGAUUAACCUUCUAACAGGUAUGUGCUCCCUGGAGAUGUGAACAUCCAUAUCAACAUCUGAUGGAUCAACAAAAGUGUGGGACCCUGAAGUCACUAGCAAAGACUUAGUCAGUACCAUGGUGCUAAAAAAAAUGUGCAAAUUUGUUUCAGCUCAGAGUAUUUGACAGACACCCUUUCAGGAGUCAUUUGCUUUCAAUUUCAAAUUCAAUGCCCGAAUGAAAUAAAGAAUCAGAUGCCCAC